rnacentral:rRNA from 1 species
AGACGGGACCCGCACAAGCGGUGGAUGAUGUGGAUUAAUCGAUGCAACGCGAAAACCUUACCUACCCUUGACAUGUCCGGAAUCCCGAAGAGAUUUGGGAGUGCUCGCAAGAGAGCCGGAACACAGGUGCUGCAUGGCUGUCGUCAGCUCGUGUCGUGAGAUGUUGGGUUAAGUCCCGCAACGAGCGCAACCCUUGCCAUUAGUUGCCAUCACUUGGUUGGGCACUCUAAUGAGACUGCCGGUGACAAACCGGAGGAAGGUGGGGAUGACGUCAAGUCCUCAUGGCCCUUAUGGGUAGGGCUUCACACGUCAUACAAUGGUCGGUACAGAGGGUUGCCAACCCGCGAGGGGGAGCUAAUCCCACAAAGCCGAUCGUAGUCCGGAUCGCAGUCUGCAACUCGACUGCGUGAAGUCGGAAUCGCUAGUAAUCGUGGAUCAGCAUGUCACGGUGAAUACGUUCCCGGGUCUU